rnacentral:rRNA from 1 species
CCUACGGGUGGCAGCAGUGAGGAAUAUUGGUCAAUGGCCGGAAGGCUGAACCAGCCAAGCCGCGUGAAGGUCAGUGCCCUAUGGGCGUUAAACUUCUUUUGUGCGGGAGCAAUAAUGGUCACGUGUGGCCAGACGAGAGUACCGUACGAAUAAGCAUCGGCUAAAUCCGUGCCAGCAGCCGCGGUAAUACGGGGGAUGCAAGGGUUAUCCGGAUUUAUUGGGUUUUAAGGGUGCGUAGGCGGACCGGAAAGUCAUCGGUAAAAGCCCGGGGGACAACCCCGACGAGCCGUUGAAAAUGUCGGACUAGAGACGGCGAGAAGUACGCGGAAUGCGCGGUGUAGCGGUGAAAUGCAUAGAUAUCGCGCAGAACUCCGAUUGCGAAGGCAGCGUACCGGCGCCGGACUGACGCUGAGGCACGAAAGCGUGGGUAUCGAACAGGAUUAGAUACCCUAGUAGUC